GUGGGGAAUCUUGCGCAAUGGGCGAAAGCCUGACGCAGCCAUGCCGCGUGAAUGAUGAAGGUCUUAGGAUUGUAAAAUUCUUUCACCGGGGACGAUAAUGACGGUACCCGGAGAAGAAGCCCCGGCUAACUUCGUGCCAGCAGCCGCGGUAAUACGAAGGGGGCUAGCGUUGCUCGGAAUUACUGGGCGUAAAGGGCGCGUAGGCGGACAGUUUAGUCAGAGGUGAAAGCCCAGGGCUCAACCUUGGAAUUGCCUUUGAUACUGGCUGUCUUGAGUACGGGAGAGGUGAGUGGAACUCCGAGUGUAGAGGUGAAAUUCGUAGAUAUUCGGGAGAACACCAGUGGCGAAGGCGACUCACUGGCCCGUUACUGACGCUGAGGCGCGAAAGCGUGGGGAGCAAACAGGAUUAGAUACCCCAGUAGUCC
rnacentral:rRNA from 1 species